rnacentral:rRNA from 1 species
GACGAACGCUGGCGGCGUGCUUAACACAUGCAAGUCGAACGGAAAGGCCUGCAGCUUGCUGCGGGUACUCGAGUGGCGAACGGGUGAGUAACACGUGGGUGAUCUGCCUUGCACUUCGGGAUAAGCUUGGGAAACUGGGUCUAAUACCGGAUAGGACAGCUGUUUAGUGUCAGUUGUGGAAAGUUUUUUCGGUGCAAGAUGAGCUCGCGGCCUAUCAGCUUGUUGGUGGGGUAAUGGCCUACCAAGGCGUCGACGGGUAGCCGGCCUGAGAGGGUGUACGGCCACAUUGGGACUGAGAUACGGCCCAGACUCCUACGGGAGGCAGCAGUGGGGAAUAUUGCACAAUGGGCGGAAGCCUGAUGCAGCGACGCCGCGUGGGGGAUGAAGGCCUUCGGGUUGUAAACUCCUUUCGACAGGGACGAAGCGUAAGUGACGGUACCUGUAUAAGAAGCACCGGCUAACUACGUGCCAGCAGCCGCGGUAAUACGUAGGGUGCGAGCGUUGUCCGGAAUUACUGGGCGUAAAGAGCUCGUAGGUGGUUUGUCGCGUCGUCUGUGAAAUUCCGGGGCUUAACUCCGGGCGUGCAGGCGAUACGGGCUGACUUGAGUGCUGUAGGGGAGACUGGAAUUCCUGGUGUAGCGGUGAAAUGCGCAGAUAUCAGGAGGAACACCGAUGGCGAAGGCAGGUCUCUGGGCAGUAACUGACGCUGAGGAGCGAAAGCAUGGGUAGCGAACAGGAUUAGAUACCCUGGUAGUCCAUGCCGUAAACGGUGGGCGCUAGGUGUAGGGGGCUUCCACGUCUUCUGUGCCGUAGCUAACGCAUUAAGCGCCCCGCCUGGGGAGUACGGCCGCAGGCUA